UUGACAUGAGAUCUUAAAUCAUAGGAAGUAUUGAGAAAAUGCGAAUAUCCCAAAAGCAUGGGAAUCUUUUUUGGUUAAUAAAGCAUUAUUAGUGUCGUUUGAUUUAAUGAAGCUGAAAAAAACCAUACAAAAUUAGAUUAUACCCCUUGAAAAUCAAGAAUCAUCAUUGCAGAGUUCCUCAAGCAGGCUAAUCAUCUCCUCUUCGGCUAUCGAUCUUUAAAAUUGCUGAUGAUGGAGAGGGCGGGGUAGCUACCAAACAAAAUCUGGCUCAUAUUCUAUAUGCAUGUGCAUUAGAAAUUACCUGGAGCCAGAAUGACGAAAUGGGAACAUCAUAAGUUUUAAGAAUGUCCCAAGUAUUGCGUACAGUCUCGGUGCCUCCCUGCAUUCCGACGACGGCCCCUGAUAUAAUCCAAUGAGGAAGUUGAGAAGGUCUUCCUAUAGAUUCUGUGAAUGUCUCAAUGAGUUCAGUAGGUGAGUUUCCAUACAAUAUUGCUCCUGCAACAGAAUUUCCAUGCACCUAUAUAGCCAGUGUAAUAUACGCGUUACAACGGUAUCAUUGUAUAUACCCAAAAUGCUAAACCUUAAAAGCAAGUGAAAGUGAUUCAAUAUGUUGAUAUUUUGAAAA